GGGUGCAUUACCAUCAUUGCUGAGGCCAUUGAAGACAGAAAGAAUAAAAAAUUCUUGUUCCGAUUUGAUGAAAUUUUUUUAUCCAAAAUUUGAUCAAGAAAGGAGUGAGACAACGUGAUUUUUUUCCUCUCUUGAUGAAUGAAUUAGAGGCGUUUUUUUUCAGUUGUUUCUUAUCUCGAGACUAGUCGAUGGGUUCCAAACUUGCUGGUUAAGUAAGAGCUGAUUAUUUGUUGGAUUUGAUUCCAAACGGACUAAUUCUAGACCUGCUAUUGUAAUCCGUAGUUAUUGUCAUCCCUACUCAUAAGCCUGUGAAACUUCAGGCCCAAGUUUUCUUUAAGGUUACAGGCGUUCAUUGUGCUGAGAGGGGAAUUAGGCAGCUAUAUUCUUAUGGGAUAAUUUCUCACCUACGCUUCAACGAUCAAAUAUGGGGAAGGGGUGGAGGCAUAUAUGUAACUUAAGUACCGCUUUUGAAUGAGAGAAAAUUGGGAACGUAGGGCUAUUGGCGUGUUUACCUCGUAUACAUUCUGGGUUUUUUGGGGAGCGUGAAGUAGGAAAUGGAAGGAAAGCGAGUAGAGAUAAGUAGGAAAGGGCAAUGGAAGCAGAGGAAGAUGAAGUGCUGAUCUACCAUGUCAAGAAAUAUGGCCCUCGAGACAGGAUCUCCAUUCGAUCCAAGGCAUUUUACAAAGAACUGCCAAAUCGCAAGGGUUGUCUCGGUUACUUUCAUCUGCUACUAGCUUGUACUUCACGAGUAAUUCUUUUUCUUUUCUUUUUCUGAAUCUUCGUAGUGGCUGCAAGUUUACGGCAGAGGAAGAGAGGGUGGUUUGGGUACAAAAAUGGGCAAGAUUGCUACGUAUUUGCCUGGAAGGACUGACACUGGGCAGCCAUUACUUGAACCAGUGAGAAGCAGCGGACCCCAGAUGCCUUCUUUGAUGACUUCCUCGCUGACAUGUUUGAUCUUGUGGAGCCGCUUCCAAGCCCAUUAGAGUAGUUCAAGGACAAGGACAUGACCAUGACCACGAAACAUUGGCCAUGGCAGAUGCAGCCCACCAAUCUCAUUUUGGGUCUGAGAAAAUGGUUGAAAGCCCUAGGUUGGGUUCACUGAAUUUCAUAGGCCCAUUCAAACAUUGUCGAGCUUCAUGAAGCAGAGUGGCUUGCCAUCAACAUGAACUUAGAUUGCUUCUUUCCGGAAUUGAAUUUUGAUAGAUUUAUGAAGCUGAUUUUAUAUUUCACUAGAAAAUCAAUCCGCGCUUCACUGCAGAAUUAAUAAAAAAAUUAAAAUAUACAUAUAUAUAAUCCAAUAUUAAAAAUAUAAUUAUCAAAUAUAAAAGAAUUUGCAUAAUAUAAUAUUAAGAUAUUAAGUAUAGAGAGUUAAGUUCUAAAUUUAAAGCACAAAUAAUAUAUUUAAAAAAUACUUUAAGGAAACACUAAUAAUUUUGAUCAGUAACUAAAAGAAAAAGAUAUAAGUCUCAAUUAAAAAAUUCAUAUAAUAUCUUGUUAAGUAAAAUGGGUCAAAUUAUUUAUAUUCAAAUUCUUCGUAGCCUAGACAUCAUCAAAGUGAUAAAUUUUUUUUUACCCACAAUAUGAUUUUUAUUCAUAAAAGAGUCUUACACUUG
rnacentral:lncRNA from 1 species